AUUGAACGCUGGCGGCAGGCCUAACACAUGCAAGUCGAGCGAGCGGCGGACGGGUGAGUAAUGUCUGGGAAACUGCCUGAUGGAGGGGGAUAACUACUGGAAACGGUAGCUAAUACCGCAUACCAUCGGAUGUGCCCAGAUGGGAUUAGCUAGUAGGUGGGGUAACGGCUCACCUAGGCGACGAUCCCUAGCUGGUCUGAGGGGAUGACCAGCCAAACGUGAAAUGAGACACGGGCCAGACUCCUUCGGGAGGCAGCAGUGGGGAAUAUUGGACAAUUGGCGGAAGCCUGAUGCAGCCAUGCCGCGUGGAAGAAGAAGGCCUUCGGGGUGUAAAGUACUUUCAGCGGGGAAGCGGUACCCCCAGAAGAAGCACCGGCUAACUCCGUGCCAGCAGCCGCGGUAAUAC
rnacentral:rRNA from 1 species